UUUUAGUGUGAAAGACGAUCGUGAUUGAUAUUGUGUUACCUCAAACGUUAUGUUUACAUCGAACAAUAAUAUAUUAUCGUUUACACGAAGAAAUAGAUAUUUUGCGUUUCUUUUUUCUCACUUCGUUAAAAGUAAACACUAUAUACAUACUAUUCUACAUAACCUAAAAAAGAAAAA